CAGCUCCUGGGAAGCGGUCGGCAUGUCCCUCUGGCUCCUAGGAGCCCAGUAGGGACCCUGCCAGCCCUACUGCGCCACCAACUGGACGUUUAACGGCCCCGUCAGCAGUGCUGACCAGAGCCGCCAGGGUCCCUUUUUGACCAGGUGUUCCAGUCAAAAACCGGACACCAGGCAACCUUAGCAUCAAGAACAUUUGGGUUCCCCACAUACCCCUCGCCACAGGGCUCCACUCCCUGCUCCUCCCCUUCCCCCCCAAAGCCCCACCCCCCCGGCCAGGUCUAGAAGUUGGAGCCGGAUCAUGGUAAGGGCUGCCCAGGAACCCUGGGCUGCUAUGGCCGCGGGGACAUGUGGUGGCCCGUGCAUUGAUCUGCCACUGUGUAGCACACAUUCCCACCUCUUCACAUUUUUUUGUUUGUUCCGACGGAUGCUUGGAAUGGUUCUUUUGCAGGAUGAUGUGCACAUGUGCCAUGAGGUGCAAGGGAUGUGCCCUGUUAUGCCCUCAUGCUACCAGUGCCGAUGCCAUGGUAGAGAAUGACAAGCCUUCGCCUGAGCCAGUGCUAGAUACACUGUGUGCUGGCAUAUCUGGCUAUUAGGAAGAGCCCGUCGCCAUUUUAGGGGUGGAUCUCAAGGAGGAGCCAGACAUAGGAUUUAGUCCUGGUCUGGAGAGAGGACAUCUCUAGUGAGUAACCCCAUCUCUCUUCCCCCACAUAAUGUAGUGGAGUUCACAGGGGAAUAUAUUGCGUCUUCAUGAUGGCUGGAGGAAGGGGACAGCAGCAAGUGGCUUCUGGAGCAACACGGGAUGGGCUGUGGGAGAGGCUGAUGGGGCAUCAGCCAGACUUGUGAUAGCAAUCCCAAUAAA